UACGCCGCGGACAUCCUGGAGAACUCCCCCGAAGGCUCCUUCGUGCUGAGAGUCAGGGUCACGGACCGAGACGAGGGCGGGUUCAACGGAACGCUGCAGAUCAUUCCGGAAUCCGUGCCGUUCGCCAUAACCCCUGACGGAGCUCUGCAGGUGAAGAAUUCCACAGCCCUGGACAGAGAGCAGACUCCCAGACUCUCCUUCCAGAUCGAAGCAAGAGAGGACGCCCCGCCCAACCGCGUUGUCCUGGCUGAUGUGGUCGUAACCCUCCUGGAUGUCAACGACAACAACCCUCAGUUUGAGAGUGCCAAUUACGAAGGAAU